rnacentral:rRNA from 1 species
GACGAACGCUGGCGGCGUGCCUAAUACAUGCAAGUUGAGCGAUGAAGAUUGGUGCUUGCACCAAUUUGAAGAGCAGCGAACGGGUGAGUAACGCGUGGGGAAUCUGCCUUUGAGCGGGGGACAACAUUUGGAAACGAAUGCUAAUACCGCAUAAUAACUUUAAACAUAAGUUUUAAGCUUGAAAGAUGCAAUUGCAUCACUCAAAGAUGAUCCCGCGUUGUAUUAGCUAGUUGGUGAGGUAAAGGCUCACCAAGGCGAUGAUACAUAGCCGACCUGAGAGGGUGAUCGGCCACAUUGGGACUGAGACACGGCCCAAACUCCUACGGGAGGCAGCAGUAGGGAAUCUUCGGCAAUGGACGAAAGUCUGACCGAGCAACGCCGCGUGAGUGAAGAAGGUUUUCGGAUCGUAAAACUCUGUUGGUAGAGAAGAACGUUGGUGAGAGUGGAAAGCUCAUCAAGUGACGGUAACUACCCAGAAAGGGACGGCUAACUACGUG